GAAAAUUAAACAAUUCAAAAUGGUCACUAUCGAUUUUUUCCGGCAUUCCUCGCGGGCAUCAAGCGUUGUGACGUCAUCAUGCACAAAGUCUAUUCUCCAAAAAUACGGAUCUAAAUCGUGAAUUUUCCAUUUUUAGAAAACUAUAUCGAACAACCUUAAGACUUGGGUGUUUAAAAUCACUUUUCAAUAGAUAAAAAUCGACUUCUAUGUAUGGUAUAGCGUCCAACAGUUAACUGUUGUAGAAGUGACUUUUUAUGGACUUUUUUACCGUGAUUGAAUCAGGAAUGAAUAGUGGAUUUUGAAUUAGUUUAAUUAGAGGAAUAUUUCUUGUAGGAAUAUGAAUACUUUAAUUGAACAAAAAAUGUAUAUUUCGAAAAUAUUGAGGCCGAAGGAAUAUGACAUAUUAAUGUUAAUGUGCCCAUAUUGUGAUUGGAAAUUUUACAUAUUUGUGAUAUUUAUAAGAUUUAGAGGGGAAAAACUUCACCUUCAUGGCCUUUCUCGCUGUUGAAGCUAGCAGAGGUGAUUUUUUACUAAGGCGAUAAACAGCUAGCCUUUAAAAUGUUUUGAAUAUCAUAAAUAUUCUUUGAAUAUCAUAAAUAUUCUAAAUUUCCCAUCAUAAUAUAUGGGAAAAGGGCAAACGAGAAGCUGCAUGAGACCGUGACAGAGAAGUUGUAUAAUGGGUAAAUGCAAUGCUUAUGUGGCUUGCAUGCGCAAUAUAAAAAUGUAAGCCAAUUCACAGUAUCGACUGCGCAUCCAAAUGAAGCGUUCCGCGUCAGUGUAAAAUUACACUUGGAUCAUAACGUGUAUAUAGCCUAUAAGACUGGAAGAAUUAAACUAUUGCGCUGUUUGGGGCCUUUUAAC